UGAAAGAUCCAUUUGAUGUAGCACAGUGACAAUGUGUCCAUAUUUGUCUAUUGGGAGGACACUGAGAAUCUUCCUCACAACAUCCGGUUGUGAGAUUUGAGUAAGCCCCAAUCCAUUAACUUCUUCUACAAGAAUAUUAAGUCGUGAGUACAUAGCAUUUGCAUUUUCAUUAGUAAGCAUUUCAAAAGAAUUUAACUUUCGCAUGGCUAUGUGGUAUCUUUCCUCACGUUCACUUCUAGUUCCUUCGUGUAGAGCACAAAUGUCCAUCCACAAAUCAUGAGCAUUUUUAUGAUUUCUUACUCUAUUGAACACAUCUUUGCAAAGGCCUCUAAAAAGGGUGUUUUUGGCCUUAGCAUUCCAUUUCUCAUAAUUGAACUCAUCACCUACAAGAUUUGUGGGAUCUCUAGGUUCGGGGAAUCCUUGUGUGGCGGCUUUAUAGACACCAAUGUCUAUAGCCUCUAAGUAUGCUUCCAUACGAAUUUUCCAAUAAGGAAAAUCGUCACCAUCAAAAACGGGAGGAGGUCCAUCCCCACCGGACAUCGUAACUCUAGCGGUUAAGCUAAUCUAUGAGCAACAAGGCUCUGAUACCAAUUGAAAGGAUCACGAUGCCCAAGAGGGGGGGUGAAUUGGGCUUUUCUAAAAAUCAACACUAAUUAAAACCUAAGCAAGAGCUAAGCAAGAGCCCAACUUCACCCCAACAACUAGCACUAAGAAUAUAAUACUAGAAAUGCAACAAAGCUAAGAUAAUACUUCAAAUACUUGCUAAACAAAUACACAAUGUAAAGUGCUUGAAUUAAGUGCGGAAUGUAAAGCAAAGUUUAGAAGACUCCUCCAAUUUUUCCCGAGGUAUCGAAGAGCGGCACUCUCCACUAGUCCUCGUUGGAGCACCCGCGCAAGGGUAUCGCUCCCCCUUGGUCCUCGCAAGAACCAAGUGCUCACUACGAGAUGAUCCUUUGCCACUUCGGCGCGGUGGAUCCCUCGAGACUGCUUACAAACUUGAGUCGGGUCACCAACAAGAUCUUCACGGUGAUCACCGAGCUCCCAACGCCACCAAGCCGUCUAGGUGAUGCCGAUCACCAAGAGUAACAAGCCGUAGACUUUCGCUUGACCAAGAGAAGCCUAAUGCAAGUGGUGUGUGCUCUAGGUGGCUCUCACUAGCGCUAAUGAGGAACAAACGCGGAUUAUGAUUCUCUAAUCUCCUCACUAGGCUUUUGGUGCUUGCAAUGCUCUAGCAAUGUGCUGGAAUAAAUGUGGAGUGCAAGACAUUGAAUAUGGUGGGUGGAGGGGGUAUAAAUAGCCCUCACCCACCAACUAGCCGUUACAGGCAUUUCACUGCGUGAUGGCGCACCGGACAGUCCGGUGCGCCACCGGUGCGCCAACGGUCGUUUCCAACGGCUAGUUCUGACAGGGAGCCGUUGGACUCAUGGCGCACCGGACAGUAAACAGUCCACUGUCCGGUGCACACCAGACAGUCCGGUGCGGUGUCCGGUGUGCCACUAAAAUUCAACUCUGAAAGCUGCGCUCUCGGGUUUCUGCGAAGGGGAAAGCCUCUGCCGUGGACCAGCCUGGCCCCACCUGGCAGAGGGUGCACCGGACAGUCCGGUGCCCCAAAGCCAGAAACACUAACUCUUGAUUUUCAGCUGAUUUUCAAAUCGGUUUUCGCUCUAACUUGUGUGUGAGUUCUAGAGUGACACCUAGCACUGUAUAUGAGUGUGAUUGUGCACCAACACUACACUAGAACUCUCUUGGUCAAACUACUCAUCGACAACCCCUUUUUAUAGUACGGCUAAAAGAGAAUAAAAGACCUAACUAAAUCGCGAGUGUCCACAUCUCCUUGACACUCGGACUCCGUAGACCUUCACCUUUUGUUUCGUCGUUUUAGCCAUCGCUUUGAGUUCUUAUCUCCGGGAUUGUUUUCACCGUUGUAGUACUUCUACCUGUCAUGCGACCUAACUUACCAUUUGUCUCUGCAAAACACACGUUAGUCACAUAUAAUAUUACGUUGUCAUUAAUCACUAAAACCAACCAGGGGCCUAGAUGCUUUCAGUGCAAAAGACUUCGCUUGGGGACCAGAGCAGGCAGCGGCCUUCGAGUCGCUCAAACAACACUUGUCCGACUUGGCAACCCUCACAAGCCCCGAUCCUUUGCUGCCUCUUCUGCUAUACGUUGCAGCCUCACCAUGUGCAGUCAGUGCAACAUUAGUCCAAGAGCAGGACAGAGAGGGCAUCAGUCGGCAGUGCCCAGUGUACUAUGUCUCCGAAGUCCUCAUGACUCCCAAGUGCAACAUGACUGAACUAGAAAAAAUUUCAUACGCAGUCGUCAUGGCAUUGCGGAAACUGCGCCACUACUUUGAGGCAUUCAAAGUACGGGUCACCUCGGACAGGGGCCUGGGAGAAUUGUUCAGGAACCCAGAGGCAUCCAUCCGAAUCGCCAAAUGGGCAGCCGAACUCUUCGGGUACCACAUUACCUUCGAACCCAGGACAACAAUCAAAUCACAAGUCCUGGCAGACUUCAUCGUUGACUGGACAGGACCAACAUGGCAACCAGAAGAGUCCCCAAAGAAAGUUUGGACCAUCCACUGUGAUGGUGCGUGGUGCCAUGCGGGGGCAGGCGCCACAGCGAUCAUAACAUCACCCGCAGGUGUCAAGUACAGAUACGCAGCACGCCUCAGCUUCGCCCUGGAAUCUGACAGAUGCACUAACAAUAUCGUAGAGUAUGAAGCCAUCAUCCUGGGACUUCGCAAGUUACGAGCACUCGGUGUCACCACAUGCAUAGUUAGGACAGACUCUAAAGUAGUCGCCGACCAGAUUGAGAAGGACUACUCAGCAAAAGACCCCGCGCUCAUGCAGUAUCUCACAGUCGUACGCAGCCUUGAGAGGCAAUUCAAGGGUUUCACCCUGCAGCACGUCGACCGCAACAAGAACAAAGAAGCCGACGCGUUGGCCAAAGCAGCAGCCAAGGGCGAGGCCUUGCCCUCCGACGUGUUCUACUACAUCAUCGGCACACCAGCUGUCCGCAACCCCGAAGGCCUACAGAUAACUCAAGACGUCGAAGGCCACCGCAUCGUCAACCUCAUCAUGGCCGAAGACUGGCGGGCCCCAAUAACACUGUACCUACAAGAUCACUACCAUCCCACCGAUAGUAAUGAGGCCAAAUGACUCAAACACAGAAACAUGGAUUUCACAUUAGUAGAGGGUCAGCUAUAUAAAAAGGGGAUUAGCCAGCCAAUGCUAAAGUGCAUAACAGAAAUCGAAGGCAUAAAAAUCCUCCGCGAAGUCCACAGUAGAACUUGCGGCUCCCACUCAGGACCUAGAGCCCUCGCUGCCAAAGUAAUUCCUCAAGGAUUUUACUGGCCCGCAAUAAUUUGCACUACCAAUCGAGUCACCCAAUCAUGCGAAGCUUGCCAAAAGUUCUCUCCCCUCUUAGGCAGCCCUUCGCAAUUCACCAAGCUCGUCGCCCAUACAUGGCCACUCCAACGCUGGGGCCUGGAUAUCGUCGGACCACUGCCUACAGCUCAAGGGAACCUCAAGUUCACCUUCGUCGCCGUCGAAUAUUUCACAAAGUGGAUUGAGGCCAGGGCAAUAUCCACAAUAACAUCAAAAACCAUUCAAAAAUUCUUCUGGCAAAACAUUGUCUGCCGCUUCGGAGUCCCGUCCGAACUCACAGUCGACAACGACAAACAAUUUGAUAGCCAAGACUUCAGGGAUUUUUGUUUUUCCAUUGGCACCAAGCCUGUCUUCGCCUCCGUGUACCACCCACAAUCCAACGGCGUUGUUGAACGCGCCAAUGGCAAGAUUUUUAGUGCCAUAAAAAAGGCUUCUUGAUGAUAAAAAGGGCAAAUGGGCCGACCAGUUACCUAAAGUUGUAUGGGCCUUGAACACGACAGAGUGCCGGGCAACCGGGUUCACACCCUUCUGCCUAUUGUAUGGAUCUGAGGCCAUGACACCGCAAGAGUUAAAGAAUAGGUCCCCCCGAACAAACAAAUCAGCCAUCCCCGACGUCGACGAACCAACUUCCAAAGAUCUCAUCGACGGAGACCACGUCCUCGCCCUGCAGGCCCUCGACAAAUAUCAGAUUCAAACCAAGGCCUGGUGCGACAACACAGUCGUCCCAAGAGAAUUCAGCGAAGGAGACCUCAUACUCGUAAGAACUACCCGGACAGAGUCCCGGGGCAAGCUCGAACCAAAGUGGGAGGGACCAUACAUAGUCAAGACAAAGGCAUCCCCUAGCGCUUACAGAUUGACAACAACAUCUAGCGAAGGCUUAGAACAUUCCUGGAACAUCGAUAAUCUCCGAAUUUUUUUAUUUAAAGUUCCAAGGCCUACGCGCCUUUGUAAUGCUAUAAACAAUGUCAUUCAGGCCCGCACUCUUUUCCUCCCGGGGGGGGGGGUGAGGUUUUUAACGAGGCGGCGCCAUGUAAUAUACCUGCGAAAAUCCACCGCAAAAAAUUCUAGAUAUCACCAUGUCGAAAAAGACCGCUCCGACGGCCUUCGGCAUUCGACCGAUUCGAAGUCACCACGAUCGGUAGCGUAGACUACCCUCACGUGCGACAAAUUCCGUGCAAAAGUCGCAUAAGGGUGCAGCCGGACAAGCACAACAAGUGCACCAUACAAAGUCUUUGCUAAAAGACAAUUCCACGCAAAAGUCACCUAAGGGUGCAGCCGGACAAGCACAACAAGUGCAUGACACGAAGUCUUUGCUAAAAUACAAUUCCGCGCAAAAGUCGCCUAAGGGUGCAGCCGAACAAGCACAACAAGUGCACCAUACGAAGUCUUUGCUAAAAGACAAUUCCGCGUAAAAGUCGCCUAAGGGUGCAGCCGGAUAAGCACAACAAGUGCACGAUACGAAGUCUUUACUAAAAGACAACUCCGUGCAAAAGUCGCCGAAGGGUGCAACCGGACAACACGAAAUACCCAUUUCAUUCAACAAAAUCGCACUGGCAAGCGAUGGGCAACCGACAACAUUACACAGUCACAGCUUACAUACAUACAUACAACGAGGGGCCAACAACCCUGCCGCACAAAUAAAUACCACAUUCUUUCCCCUCCCUCUUUAUUGCGAGCCGGGGGAGGGCAGCGUUUUCACUCAUUACCGCAAGACAAGAGCGAGGGCACAAAACACACUACAUCGGCUCGGCCUUCGGGAUAAUGCCCACAUCCCUAUAGUUGAACAAGAUCAUUUUUAAUUCCUCAUCCUCAAAAAGAUUCCGCAGAUCCCCCUCACCAAUACUCGUCCCAAUCGGCGAGGACAGCAGAUCUCGUUGACCACACCGAUCUACUCGAAGGCGGGUUCGCUCUAUCCCCAUCCGACGGCACCUCCCACUUUGCGACAUCUCACCAACGCUAUACUUCGACACCACUUUUCGUCGCCGGCGCUCGAUCCUCGCGCCAGCCAGGGGAUCAGACACUUCGCCCACCUCCAGCCACAGCGAGGACUCCACCGCGGUCACAUCUAACGCAACAAAAUAAUCCAAAUCCUCUCCCGAAGACUCCUUGGUCCAAGAAAACGGGCUCCCAAACUCACCAUCAGAUGAAAAAGACCCAGAUUCAAAACCAUACAAACUAUCAUUAGCAGUCACUGUGGUUGCGGCCGCCACAAAAUUAGUAUCGUCAGUAGGGGUUGCUUGCCCAGGCCCGGACGUCGGAACCUGCACAGCAACCGAUUUUCAGUAUCACAAAAAACAAAGCCCUACAUCCAACACCCCUAAUCCUAUUCCGCCACCUGCGAAGGGCCGACCGGUGCUGCUGGGUCUUCAAUAGAUGGCGCGGCCGCCAAAGCGUCUCCUCCAGUCGGCGCGUCGGCUGCCACAGGGUCCUCACCAGCACCAGUCGGCACGGAGGCUACCACGGGGUCCUCGCCAACAUCAGUCUGCGGUGUCGGUUGCUCCUCAGUCUCCGCCCUCGCAUCCUCCGCCAGAGGCGCUGUGCUCUCUAGGCCUCCGAGGUCCUCGAUCUCCCCAUCAUUAGCCAUCUACAGAAAUAGCACCAAAUAUGAACACACAUUCCAAAAAAACAAAAAACACGUACCUGCUCCAUCGCCCGGUCAGACCUCUCCCGUACAGUAUCACGGCCGUGAGGGCCCCACAUCCUAUCAUAAAGCACCCCAGCAGACCGCUUUAUCACCGCGUCCUCAACCUGAAAAAUUCUGCGGUCAAAGUCUUUGUCGGAUUGGUCGAACACUUCAAAGUGCCUGCAUCCCUCAUGGGCCAAGGCAUUCGCGGUCCCUUCGCAGGUGAUGAGCGAGGCAAAGGACAUGAGACCCGUCACGAUAGACGGAAGCACCUCCAGUUCCUCCUGUAGCCAUCCGAGAAAGCAAAGGCCCACCUCCUUACCGGACGCAUCAAAGGGGGCGGUACGUGCACCAAGCUGUCGAUACGCGUCCAUGAGCAACGCGUGUGCUCGGCCGACCUCUGUGCGAGUAGAGGCCUCCGCUUUGUCCAGGUAGCUGCGCAGGCCGCUGUGGCUCGCCUCCGCCUCCGCAAGGCGUUGGAGCGCGAGGUUGGCCUCGGCGUGGGCAAGCUUGGCUUCGGCACGCGCAGCCUGCGCCUCCGCGCAGGCCCUGUCCGCAUCCUCCUUCUCCGCCACCAGUCGGCGUCCGAGGUCCUCUUUUUCGGCCUUCACGGUCGCCAGCUUCUCUGCCAGGUUGCGGCUCUUGUUUUUCGUGACCGAUUUAUCCCGCACAGCCUCAGUGUACUGCGUCCGGAGGCGCUCAACCCUUCCCUCGAGUCGUCGCCUUUCAGCAACGAACUCCGAGGUCAGGGCCCCCGAUGUAAUUUGUUCAGCGAAGGUGGUCGCCUGGCAUAUAAAGCCGUCAAAUUCGCAAUCAUGUAAGAACAACAACCUGCUGAAGUCCAAGACCACUUACAUGCUUCAACUGCCGCGUUGCAUGCGUCAGCUGCUGCGCAACUGAGCCCGCCACGUCCUUGGCGGCAGCGGCCGAAGCAAUCUCGCCGCUGGCGCAAAACUUGGACCAUGGGUCCUGCGCUGACCCCUUCGCCUCGGCCGCCAUGGGGACCGACCUAGCCGCCACUGGCGCCGGGACAACAGCCAGUUGCCCAGCCUCCAACCCUACACCAUAGUCUCGUCAAAGACCCAUCCCCGUUAAAAAAACAAAACUCACCGAUAAGUCCCCGCCCUGUAUGGGCAUCGAACAUCGCGAGCCCGCCAACAAGAUAGUCAUCCACGGAAACAUCCAUGGAGACCUCAGCCCCACCCACCUCCGCCUGAGCAGAACGUGGCGGGGAUGGCGGCCUUCGCUCCUGUGUGGGCGCGGCAGGAAGCGGCUUGCUGGAGCCGGGGGCGACGAACUUCGUGCCCAGCGAAGGCUUGCUGGGGCCGGGGGUGGCGGACUUCGCUCCUAGCGGAGGCUUGCUGGUGCCGGGGGCGGCAGACCUUGCGACCCCCACGCCAUCUUGACCUCGUGGCUCGGGUCCCCGACCCUCGCGAACGCCCGACGCUUCCACGGCGCAUCUUGGCGAUCCUUUUCCAUCACUGCAGAUACAACAACAGCAACAUUCCGUCCAUAAGGAAAAAUCUUCAUCUCAUGAGCUAAGCGAGACGUAAACAUGUCCUCGCCGGCCGCCUGGGGGAUCAGAACAUUCCCAGGCCAGCGACCCCCGGUAACCUUCAGCAUUCGCGCGGAAGAUUCCCGGAGCUCGGGCGAAGACAUCCUCUCCCCGGGAGCCACGCAAGUUCCCAUUAAUUCCAAAGCAAAAUGCUCGGAAGCCCCCCAACCCCUCCGCCGUUGUACCUAGUUUCCUCUUCUAAGCGGCUGCAGCCAGCGUCGCUCCCCGCGAAGGGCCUUCGUCAACCGCUGAAACCACCCUUUUUCCCCGGCGGUCACCUGCAGCAGUAUCGUCGUCUCCUGGGUAGCCGGCAUAUGGAAGGCGGUUCAACUCAAACAUGAUUCAACCGAACAUUCGAACCACGAAUAUCCCAGCUCCGCAAGGUCUUAGUCUUCGGCACAUAUAGCCCUACAAUCCUUGCGGCCUCGGCCUCCACUUCGCACACAAACGCGGCCGGGUUCUGGCCCCAUAAAUCCAAGGUGAAGGAAGGACUUCACACCAACUGAUCACCCAAGGUUGGCAUCCGGCGAGGGCACACCUCGCCAAGUACCCAGUCGUGUGCCAAGGGCCACACUCCAUAUCCGAUAAAUUCCUCAACUAAAUCGCGCCUGCUACUCAUGCGGGCAGCGUAUCGAAGGGCCCCUUCGUCCUCGUCAUCCUCCGCCACCUCGAAUGGAGGGAACGCCACAUAACAGUGAGAGCACAUAAUGGCUGCAGGGAGCCCAGGCAGAUCUUCGACUUCCCCAUAGGAAACAUAAAACCAAAAGUCACACCAGUUGCCCCACUUGUUCCUGGCGCAAGGGACUAUCUCCACGACUUCCGACGAAGUCUUUCCAGUCCUCGGCGUAAAGGUGCACGAUCCAAAUUUUGCAAUCUUGUUUCCUAUCUUCCUUUUUGCCAGUGCAGAUAAUAGUUCUUUGCGAAGACCUCCACAGAUAGCUACCCGCUGUAAGUAGCAACCGCCCAAACAUACUUCGCUAGCGCCACCACGGCGUUAGGCGUCAACUGGUGGACCUACACGUCAAACCUCCGCAAGACCUCCGCCACGAAGCGAUGCGCCGGGAGACAAAGGCCAUCAACGAAAAACACCUCAAAAACAACCAAUUCGCCCUCAGGCUCAGGGAUUUCUUCUACGCCCGGAACCCGCCCGACACCAUCACCAAAAUAUCCAAGCCACUGCAUCUCCUGCACGUGGACCGAGGAAAUCCUCGAAGUGCCGAACUCCACAGUGUGGCCCGGUUGCAACUCCAUCACCGCCAAAUCACUCAAUGUAUCCACGGACGUUGGAUCGACCGACGACGCACUCGCAGCAGACGAGGAAGAAGACAUGGCUACGUACCGUCGGCGGCAGCGCGCGGUCUGCUUGACGCGGGCUAGAUUUCCGAAGCAGAAGAGCAAGGAAAGCAGGCGAGCGGUCUGCCAAAGCUAGGGUUUUUUACGGCGCAAGCAAGAGUAGAAAACAGUCCCGGCCGCGGUCGCCCUUUUUAUAGAUAGAGCGAGACGCCUCGGGAAACACGCAGUCCAACAGUAACACGUCCAUCACGGUCACAAUUCAAAAACCCCCGCGGGACCACUUCGAGCGAGGGCAGCGUAUUCCCCAUCUAGCGACGUCUUCGGCACUAGAUGACUUAGUCGAACUGGUCCCUCAGAGGGCAAAUGUUGGGGCGAAGGCGAACACGCUACCCUUCGCUCCACGCCUUCGACUCCUCUUCACUCCAACGAAGGAUACAUCCACAUAAUGCAUCCAAACUAGCCAAAGGCGCCGACUGGAAGGAGACCGGCGCAGUCCCCUUCUGUAACAUCCCUGGUGUUACUGCUACUAAAACUUGAGCAUGACAUCAAAAACAUUGGCAUUGCAUAUGUUUGACACACCUAGAGUGCAUUCACUAGGUAAAAAUUUCAAACAAGUUGUAUUGUUCUAGUGUUUUGCAAAUAGGACCCUGGAUAGGGAACUUAACCCUAAAUAGGGAUUAAAGGGGUAAAACAUAACCCAAAUUGAGAAAACCUAAAAGAUUUAGGGGAAUAGUCAUAAAAUGUUCCCAAGAAUGAACUUGAAUCACAUUUAUACCCCUAGGAUACCAAACACCCCCAUUUGAACCCUGGAAAACCCUAAGUCCAAACCCUAGGGGCUUAUGUGCAAAAAUAGUGCACAUUUGGACUAAAGUGUCAAAACUACUAUGUUAAAGCACAUAAAGUCACAUGGUUCACAUUUAGGAAGAUUUACAAGCCAAACCCUAAGUUUUGGAUUAAUUUGCAAAAAAGACCCCAAUUGAGAUUUCACUCUAAGUCUGAAUUUCAGAGUUGAGGGCUCAACUUUGGAGCCUUGUAACUUUCAAACUCUAGGGUUUUUGCCCUAUGUCACCACAUCAAAGUUGUAGACCAAUGAUAGGAGAACAACUUUGCUUAAGAGUGUGAGCUCAGUUGUUGAGAAAAAUCUAGAGAUAAUUAAGCCCAAAGUUGGACUGUCAGACUACUUAAAGUCUGAAAUCAGACUGACAGUGGACUGACAUCAACUUCAAGCCCAAUUUCUAGCACGAUCCAUUGGCUUUUUGUGGCAGCACAAUAUAGCAAUGUUGUAGCUGGUCAAUAGCUCUACAAUUUUGCUGCAGAGCAUGGAGCAUGUUUCCAUAUAAGUUUGAGAGAAAAUCAAGCUCAAAAACGGUUUGUCAGUCUGACUGAACCCCAUUCGCGAUGGUACAGUGUCCCAAACAGAUCACACUGCCAGCGUAGCUUGCUCACCGCCGACGACCGAUUUCCGCCGUGAUUCGUGCCGCCGCCGGUCCAAUUUGUGCUCGGGGUGAGUGGAUAGCGCUCGGGGUCCCAGAAAUAUCACCGCCGUGGAUAACUCCGGUCACUAAAUAAGUCCGACCACCGUACCAAGUUGCCACGGCCACUGCGGAUAGCUUCGCCGGUGAACCGCAGCCUCUCGGCCUUGUGCCGCGUGGCUUUGCCUUUCCACCGCAUCGCCACGACUUACCCUCGCUCCCCGCUGAUCGCCGGAGCAGUUGCCACGGCACUGGACACGCAGCCGCUGCACCAGUGAACUUCUUCUUUCUCUGGCCGCCGCGCGUUGUCGCUCGAUUCCCCGGCCACCGCUUGCGAGCGCUAUAAAAUUGAGCCCGCGGCUAGCUGCGCUACAUCAUCACGAAACCAGAGCCUCAAUCCCACCCUCAAUCGUUCGCCAGAGCUCGCGAAUUUUGAAUUCGCCCCAAAUCAGUUCUCCGCCGCCGUGAAUCACACCCUGUCGUGGCUAGCCCUCCACAGGUCUGCUCAUCCCCUCUUUGUUCCUGUUCUAGCAUCUGUGCAUGCUGGUGAUGCUUGCCGAACCACCAAUUUGCACUGAGUAGCCUUAGAUCACCGGGAACACGAGCAAAUGCCCACAAUCUUCGCUGUUCUUGUGGGCAGAGUAGAAUAGGUCACCAUUCGUGCAAUUAAGUUAGGGGAAACAUUCUCUAGGUCAUGGAUUUGGUUUAGUCCGAAGCUGAGCACCGGUCUUGGCCUUCUCCGGCCGGUCUAGCUCGCCGGAGUUGGAUUUCCCGUGCGGAGCGCCGUCAAGGACGUGUCGGGUAAAGGAAUAUAAGACCGAGGGUUUUUCUGCAAUCUGUCAGCGACACAAUGAAAUAGUAAAUGAACUCGUUCCCAGUUAGCCAAGAACCCGAGGCCCUCUGUGCAAAGUUGCCAGAGCGCGCGGGCGCGGGCACAUUUUCCCCUGGACAUGGGCCGCUUGAACCAGAUUUGGCCUAGUACUGUUACUGGUUUUUCCCUUUUCUUUUUCUUCCAGAGCCAAAUAAAUUCUAGGAAAUUGUAGAAAAAUCCUAAAAUUGUCAAACCAAUUUUCCUAGGCUUCUUAUUUUCCAUAGUAUUUCAUAAAAAUAGUUUCAUGAAUUUUAGAUUAAAUAAGGAAUUUUGAGGCAUUUAAACUAGCUUAAACCAUUAGUUCUGGAUUUUUAGAAAAUAAAUGAUAAUCCCAAAAAUUCCCAAACUUUUUAUAUGAGCUCUACACAUUAGUUAGAAGCCAUGGGUAGAAUUUGGUUUGAUUUGGACCUUGUUUGAUAACUAGAACCCAAAACCCUACCCCCCUGCCCUUUGAAUUCCUUUACUGACUCCGGAAACCCUAAGUUCUCGGAGUUCCGUGAAGGGAAGUUAUAUUCUAGACUUUAGAUAAUAAACUCUUAUUGUCUUUGCACUCUCAUGAGCAUUACAUGGCAUCCAUUCUUAUAUAUAUAUAUGAUUAUGUUUAGAAAACGAAGAAGAGAUCGAAGUGACUGAAGAAAAGACACCACCACCUUCGGAAUCUUAGGCCGGGAAUUGUCUUUACUUUGACAUCUGCGGGUCUGAGCCUGACUCACCAAUCAACGAAGGCAAGCCUCGGUGCAUUUGCCACCUCCCUUGAUGUUUCUAAAAUCUUUCUCACUUGAUUGAUGCAUUAAGUAAUAGGAGUUGAAUGCUUAAACAAUUCCUGCAUUACCUUCCUUGAAUUUGAUUACCUUCCUUGAAACCCUGUUUUUACAAAAGGUUUUACUAUGCUUAGUAUUGCUUUAGCAAAACAAAAGGUUUUGUUUUACAAAAUAUGAUUGGCAAAGUGGAAGGGAUGUUUUUGAAACAAAACUUGAUGGUGGAUCCAUCAUGGCCGUGAUGGGUUCAACAUCCGGAAAAGAUGUACCUCUGUCAGGUACCAAGUUUUUGAGUUAAAUGAUUAAGCUGAGACCGGGCGGGUGACUUGCACGAGAAAGGAGUCUCGGUGUAGUGUCUCCGUCUGAGUCGAUUAAGGACCGUAUCGAUGUAGGCUUGAUGACCGAGGACCCUUUAACUGGUCACAUGCCUCGUCAUGGGUAAGCCUUGCCUCGGGCAGACUAAGGCCAGAAUAGGAUAACACGAAAUGGGCGUGGAGCGGUGGCGAGAGUAGCGUGUACCCUUCGUAGCAAGAGGCUGGACGGUGGUGUAUCUGUGCUCUCGGUUUGCGUGAACCUGAUCUGGUCUUAAGAACCCCAGUGGCGGGUUGACAUAUGCAAUGGUUAAGUGCUACAUAUGUCGUGUGAUUGGAGAUCCUCAGCUGAGUAUAAUCGAUUUGGAUCGCCGUACCUUCGCGGUCAUGAAGACUUGGUCACUGCCCUAUACGUAGAACUCCACUAAAGAUGAAGGGAUUUGAUGAGAAAUUGGCUAGUGCAGGACAAGUGUUUGAACUAGAGUAGAAAGAACUCUAGAGGUAGAUAAUCUUACCUAACUUGACAAUAAAAUUGGAUUUUUAAGGAUCCACUUUUAGUAAGCAUUUAUGCGAACAAGAGUCUUUGAUCAUUGAGAAACCUUACCUUGACUCCGUUAUAACCAGCAUACCCUUGAGAGUCUUUUCUUUAGUCGGGUAAGACUUGCUAAGUAAUUCCAUACUCAGGGUUUAUUCCCCCAUUGUUUUUAGGUGAGGAAGCAACAACCUUUUGUUGCUUUUGUACCAAGGUGGUACCAAAUGAAGAUAAACAAGAAUGAAGCUGCGGGAGGACCUAGUCCUCCAUAAGAACUUUUGUGUAAUAACUAUCGGGAGGAGUUUUUGCCUCCCUUGGUAUUGUAAUAAUAAGUACUCUGCACUCGUUUUAUAGCUCUAGUCUGUAAUAACUAACUUGAUCUUACUUUCUAAAUAAAUGUAAGUUAUGUAAUCGCUUCCGCAUUUCUAUAUCUCCGAUGUUCUGUAAUGUCUGCAAGACGGGUGAAACGUUCCUGGAAAGGUAAGAAAGAUGAUACCAAACUUGUCAAGUGAUUCAGAAACAUCUACAGGGUUGUCUGAUGUCUGUUGGACAAGGACAACUGUAGGUGGGCCUAAUGACUUGGGAGGUUCCGUCACAGCUGGUAUCGGAGCGAAGCCCUUCUCUGUAGAUAUUAUGAGGCAUCUUCAAAAGAAAUUUCUAAAGACUUAUCUAGAAAACUUCUUCCUUUCUUAUCUAAGUAAUUCUGAAGAAUUUAUCUUAAAGACCAGGUAGGAAGAGUGCAAUGUAUAGAAGGUGUGAAUCAACCAAGGUUGAUUCUGUAAUUACACAUGCAUCAUGCUAAAAACUAUAUUAAUAAAAUUUUUCCCCUUAGAAAAAAAUGCUGCCACGCACAAGGAAAACGGCGCGCAAGUCAACUGGCCCAAGCGGUGUGCCCCGGCAUCAACUCGCUCCCAGACAUGAGGAUAGCAGUAGCGGGAGCAAUGAUCCGAUAGGGGAUCUCGAAGCAGAAGUGAGCCGGCUCCAAGCGGAACUCCACCGCAGGAUAGAUAUAUGGGUCGCAGAUGGCGACCGAAUAAAUGAAUGGAGAAGAGACGUUCGCCACCUGCAAGAUCAGCUCGUGGACCGAGAUUUUGCACUCAACUGGGUUGUUCAAUCUCGUUCGCUUGCCUGGGCCAAGGAGGAAACAGCUCAAGCUCGAGUAGCAGAGCUCAACUUGGCCGUUGAUAACCUGCAGACAUAUUGCAAUACCUUACAUGAAGAAGUUCAUGUAUUAUAUUCGCAACUGCACCCCAGUGAACCUGCGGAUCCUGUCGAGUCGGAAGCCGGACCCUCGCAUGUUGCGGGAGAAGCGCUUGGUGGUGAGUUGGACCUUUUCAGGCCCCCUCCUUCUAUGAGGCUGGUCGAUGAAUGAUCUCCCACACCCGACGACGAGGCUGCCAGGAGCAACCGGAAGCAGGAAUAGUGGUGUAGUGGUAGAAAUAGAAGUAGUGUAUUGUAUAAUAGGUUGUACUAUUGUAUAAUAGGUAGUGCUAUUGUAUAAUAGGUAAUGUAUCCGGUUGUAAAAAUCCGAGUCUGUCACAUUACUCUUUUUGGUAAUGUAAAAUGGAUGGUUGUCUUUGGCAUAUUAUAUUGUUUUCAAAUGUUGCUUGCCACAGAUGCCUUCCCGAACUCGUGCACAGGAUGCAGCCGGAACCUCCAGUGGGAGGGAGUCCACCCCAAACCCACCUCCAGUUCCUCCCAUGCUUGCCGAGGCCAUCGCUGCCUUGGUGAAUGCAACCGCGGACAAUACCCGCUUCUUACGAGAAAUGGCGGGUCAACAACUUCAGCAACAAGGCGGGCGGGGCUAUUCGCAAGGCCCCCGUGAUACAACCUAUUUGGACUUCUCCGAGACGCGCCCCCCGAUAUUCGCCAAAGCAGAAGACCCUUUGGAGGCGGACGAGUGGAUCCGCGUAAUUGAGCAGAAAUUUGGACUUCUGCGGUGUUCUGAGACCCAGAAGCCCCUAUUCGCCGCCCAACAACUGUGUGGUCCUGCCAGCACCUGGUGGGGAAACUUUGUGGCCGUUCAGCCGGCCAAUCAUCAGAUAACUUGGGAUGAGUUCAAGCUAGCCUUCAGGGAGCACUAUAUCCCUGAAGGGGUACUUCAUAUGAAACAAGAGGAAUUCAUGAAGCUAAAGAAAGGAGGGGAUACUGUUAGUCAGUAUCUCAAUAAAUUUAAUCACUUAUCCCAAUAUGCGAUUGACCAAGUCAACACAGAUCUGAAAAAGAAGAAUUGUUUUAUGAGAGGUUUAAACGAUAGGAUGCAAAGGAAAAUGGCUACUUGCAUCGACCUCACAUAUGGAAGGGCUGUCAGUACAGCACUGGCAGUCGAAUCAAAAUAUGCAAGUUCCGGCAAGACCAAGGGGAAUGGAGGAAAUAGGCCUACUCAGGGCCCUGAAAAGAGGCAACAGUUUGUUAUCCGGCCUGCUAAUCAGGGUCGUUCUUCAGCAUGUCCACCCUCCUUCCCAUUCAAGCAGCCAGUAUUCAUUCGUCCCAAUGCUGCCCCUACAACAACAAGUCAGCCGGGUGCCCCUAGCACUCGAUUCCCGGCUCUUCCCAGUUCAUCAACAGGAUGCUUCAAUUGCGGAAAAUCUGGGCACUUUAUCAAGGAUUGCCCUUAUCCGAAGCAAAAUAAGUCCAACAAUCAGCAAGGAUCUGGGAAUUCUUCUCAAGCCAAGGGAAAUACUUCGGGCAAAAAUACAAAGAAGACGGGACGCAUAUAUUAUACGCAAGUGGCCACUACACCGGACGGUGAACCGGUAAUGAUGGGUACAUUCCUUGUGGCCAAUCAUCCCGCAAAUAUUCUCUUUGAUUCUGGUGCUUCGCAUACAUUCAUCAGCAAGAAAUUUGUGGAGCAACAUUGCAUUUCAUGUCAUGAAUCAAAAGAGGGGUUUAAAAUUCAGUCACCUGGGGGACAAAUUUUUACUAGAGAAGUGGCCUAUCAAGUGCUCGUAACAUUGGCCGGACGGGACUUUCCUGCUAACAUGAUUGUUCUGAAAGGCCAAGACAUAGAUGUUAUUUUGGGUAUGAAUUGGUUGGCCAAACAUAAAGCAACCCUCAACACUGAUCAGAGAACCAUCAGGUUGAGUCAUAAUCAAGAGGAAAUUCUUUUGUCUAUCCCCAUUCCGACCAAAACUACUGGUAGAAUUUAUGAAGCCAUUAUAUCAGAAGUUAAGGAUAUUCCAGUAGUAUGUGAGUUCCCAGAUGUCUUUCCAGAAGAUUUGCCUGGAUUGCCACCCGAAAGAGAUGUAGAAUUUGUAAUUGAGUUGAAGCCCGGUACGGCUCCCGUUUCCAGAAGAUCGUACUGAAUGCCUCCGAAUGAGCUGGCAGAACUGAAGAUUCAAUUACAAGAUCUACUGGAGAAAGGAUUCAUCCGGCCAAGCUCGUCACCCUGGGGUUGUCCAGCCAUAUUCGUUAAGAAGAAGGAUCAAACCUUGUGAAUGUGCGUAGAUUAUCGGCCCCUGAAUGAGGUCACUAUCAAGAACAAGUACCCUCUUCCACGGAUUGACAUCUUAUUUGAUCAACUGACUGGAGCGAGGGUAUUCUCCAAAAUUGAUCUCAGAUCGGGCUAUCACCAGAUCCGUAUUCGGCCCGAGGAUAUACCGAAGACCGCAUUCACUACGCGGUAUGGUUUAUUUGAAUACUUGGUAAUGUCUUUCGGACUGACAAAUGCUCCUGUCCACUUCACGUAUUUAAUGAACUCGGUAUUCAUGCCUGAGUUGGACAAGUUUGUGGUGGUCUUCAUUGACGAUAUUUUAAUAUAUUCCAAGAAUGAAGAGGAGCAUGCUCAACACUUACGGGUCGUUUUGACGCGCCUGAGAGAACAUCAACUAUAUGCUAAGUUCAGCAAAUGCGCGUUUUGGCUGGAAGAAAUUCAAUUUCUGGGACAUGUGUUAUCUGCAAAGGGGAUUGCGGUGGAUCCCAGCAAAGUCAAGGACAUUUUGGAGUGGAAACCCCCAACCACUGUUCACCAAGUCCGAAGUUUCCUUGGACUAGCUGGCUAUUACCGCCGAUUUAUACCAGAUUUUUCCAAGCUUGUGAAGCCAAUCACAAGUUUAUUAAAGAAUGAUACAAAAUUCAAUUGGUCUUCAAAGUGUAAUGAAGCCUUUGAGAAGUUGAAGAUAUUAUUAACCACUGCUCCGGUAUUGGCUCAACCGGAUAUUAACAAGCCAUUUGAUGUGUAUUGUGACGCAUCUGGCAGUGGUCUCGGCUGUGUGUUAAUGCAAGAAGGCCGAGUAAUUGCGUAUGCUUCAAGGCAGUUGCGUCAACAUGAGGAACAUUAUCCCACUCAUGAUCUGGAGCUAGCUGCUGUGGUUCAUGCCCUGAAGAUUUGGUGUCAUUAUCUACUGGGAAAUGUCUGUCAUAUGUAUACAGACCAUAAAAGCUUGAAGUAUAUCUUCACCCAGUCAGAGUUGAACAUGAGACAAAGGCAAUGGCUUGAGCUUAUCAAGGAUUAUGAACUGGAAAUUCAUUAUCACCCAGGCAAAGCCAAUGUAGUGGCAGAUGCACUUAGCCGUAAGGUUUCUUGUCACUGUCUUACAGUGAAGACCUCUGAUAAUACACUAUGUCAGGAGAUGGAGAAGCUAAACCUGGGUAUGAUUCAGCAUGGAACUUCAAACCACUUGAAGCUUGAGUCAGACCUUCUACAACGGAUAAUUGAUGCUCAAAGGGAUAAUGAGGGUAUGAAACACAUCCGGGAGAAGAUAAGGGCUGGAAAAGCCCAAUGUUUUAGAGAAGAUGAUCAAGGCAUUGUAUGGUUUAAUAACCGCAUAGUUGUGCCAAAGAAUGAAGAGCUCCACCAGCAAAUUCUUGAUGAAGCACAUCUUAGUCGCUAUUCUAUUCAUCCCGGAAGCACUAAGAUGUACCAAGAUCUAAAACAACAUUAUUGGUGGACAAAAAUGAAGAUCGAGAUUGCACGCUAUGUGGCUAGAUGUGACACGUGCAGACAUGUCAAGGCCAUACACUUGAAAGCUGCCGGUCCAUUACAGUCUCUACCAAUACCAACAUGGAAAUAGGAAGACAUCAGUAUGGACUUUAUUGUGGGAUUGCCAAGGACCGCAAAAGGGUAUGACUCUAUCUGGGUUAUUGUUGAUCGACUCACAAAGAUCGUCCACUUCCUCCCAGUUAAAGUAAAAUAUCCCGUCAUCACCUAUGCGGAGCUGUACAUUGCUCGCAUUCUUAGUCUGCAUGGGGUUCUGAAGACUAUAGUGUCGGAUCGUGGACCUCAAUUCGUAUCCAAAUUUUGGGAAGAACUCCAUAAAUCCCUGGGUACCAAAUUGCUCCACAGUUCGGCCUAUCAUCCUCAAACAAGUGGACAGACUGAGAGGGUUAAUCAAAUACUUGAAGAUAUGCUGCGGGCAUGUGUUCUGGACUUCUCACAGAAAUGGGAUGAAUGUUUGCCCUUAGCGGAGUUUUCAUAUAAUAAUAGCUAUCAAGAAAGCAUCAAGAUGGCACCUUUCGAAGCUUUAUAUGGACGACGAUGUCGUACUCCGCUAAAUUGGUCUAAACCUGGUGAAAGGUACUUCUUCAGGCCUGAUAUGGUGAAAGAGACCGAGGAAAAGGUUCAGAAAAUAAUUCAUAAUAUGAAGAAAGCCCAAGCUCGUCAAAAGAGUUAUGCAGACCGGCGACGACAACCCUUAUACUUUCUCGUGGGAGAUGAUGUCUACUUGAAAGUUUCACCAAUGAAGGGUGUAUCGCGUUUCAGGAUUAAAGGGAAGCUUGCACCUAGGUACAUUGGUCCUUUCCCAAUACUUGAGCAAUGUGGACCAGUGGCAUAUCGACUCCAACUACCCGAAACAUUGUCUGCUAUACAUAAUGUGUUCCACGUGUCCCAAUUGAAGAAGUGUCUUCGGGUUCCCGAUCGAACCAUUGAAGUGACAAAUGUUGUCCUUGAACCGGACUUGACAUAUUCGAAGCACCCUAUUCGAGUCUUGGAUCAAAAGGACAGGAUUACCCAGAGAAAAACUCUCAAGUUCUAUAAGAUACAGUAGAACCAACAUUCGAAAGAUGAGGCUACAUGGGAAACUCAAGACUUUUUAGAUAAGAAUUUCCCAGGCUUUUUAGCCUCUUGAAAUUUGUAAAGUGUACAACAUGGUUGUAAUAAAGGAGUGAGCCCCAGACCACCCCUGCCCUGUACUAAAACUCAGGAAAUAAAGACAUGAAGCAUUUCCUUUUCCAUUACCUACCCUAGGAUUUUAAUCUCGGGACGAGAUUCUUUUAUGGGGGGAAGGAUGUAACAUCCCUGGUGUUACUGCUACUAAAACUUGAGCAUGGCAUCAUAAACAUUGGCAUUGCAUAUGUUUGACACACCUAGAGUGCAUUCACUAGGUAAAAAUUUCAAACAAGUUGUAUUGUUCUAGUGUUUUGCAAAUAGGACCCUGGAUAGGGAACUUAACCCUAAAUAGGGAUUAAAGGGGUAAAACAUAACCCAAAUUGAGAAAACCUAAAAGCUUUAGGGGAAUAGUCAUAAAAUGUUCCCAAUAAUGAACUUGAAUCACAUUUAUACCCCUAGGAUACCAAACACCCCCAUUUGAACCCUGGAAAACCCUAAGUCCAAACCCUAGGGGCUUAUGUGCAAAAAUAGUGCACAUUUGGACUAAAGUUUCAAAACUACUAUGUUAAAGCAUAUAAAGUCACAUGGUUCACAUUUAGGAAGAUUUACAAGCCAAACCCUAAGUUUUGGAUUAAUUUGCAAAAAAGACCCCAAUUGAGAUUUCACUCUAAGUCUGAAUUUCAGAGUUGAGGGCUCAACUUUGGAGCCUUGUAACUUUCAAACUCUAGGGUUUUUGCCCUAUGUCACCACAUCAAAGUUGUAGACCAAUGAUAGGAGAACAACUUUGCUUAAGAGUGUGAGCUCAGUUGUUGAGAAAAAUCUAGAGAUAAUUAAGCCCAAAGUUGGACUGUCAGACUACUUAAAGUCUGAAAUCAGACUGACAGUGGACUGACAUCAACUUCAAGCCCAAUUUCUAGCACGAUCCAUUGGCUUUUUGUGGCAGCACAAUAUAGCAAUGUUGUAGCUGGUCAAUAGCUCUACAAUUUUGCUGCAGAGCAUGGAGCAUGUUUCCAUAUAAGUUUGAGAGAAAAUCAAGCUCAAAAACGGUCUGUCAGUCUGACUGAACCCCAUUCGCGAUGGUACAGUGUCCCAAACAGAUCACACUGCCAGCGUAGCUUGCUCACCGCCGACGACCGAUUUCCGCCGUGAUUCGUGCCGCCGCCGGUCCAAUUUGUGCUCGGGGUGAGUGGAUAGCGCUCGGGGUCCCAGAAAUAUCACCGCCGUGGAUAACUCCGGUCACUAAAUAAGUCCGACCACCGUACCAAGUUGCCACGGCCACUGCGGAUAGCUUCGCCGGUGAACCGCAGCCUCUCGGCCUUGUGCCGCGUGGCUUUGCCUUUCCACCGUAUCGCCGCGACUUACCCUCGCUCCCCGCUGAUCGCCGGAGCAGUUCCCACGGCAUUGGACACGCAGCCGCUGCACCAGUGAACUUCUUCUUUCUCUGGCCGCCGCGCGUUGUCGCUCGAUUCCCCGGCCACCGCUUGCGAGCGCUAUAAAUUGAGCCCGCGGCUAGCUGCGCUACAUCAUCAUGAAACCAGAGCCUCAAUCCCACCCUCAAUCGUUCGCCAGAGCUCGCGAAUUUUGAAUUCGCCCCAAAUCAGUUCUCCACCGCCGUGAAUCACACCCUGCCGUGGCCAGCCCUCCACAGGUCUGCUCAUCCCCUCUUUGUUCAUGUUCUAGCAUCUGUGCAUGCUGGUGAUGCUUGCCGAACCACCAAUUUGCACUGAGUAGCCUUAGAUCACCGGGAACACGAGCAAAUGCCCACAAUCUUCGCUGUUCUUGUGGGCAGAGUAGAAUAGGUCACCAUUCGUGCAAUUAAGUUAGGGGAAACAUUCUCUAGGUCAUGGAUUUGGUUUAGUCCGAAGCUGAGCACGGUCUUGGCCUUCUCCGGCCGGUCUAGCUCGCCGGAGUUGGAUUUCCCGUGCGGAGCGCCGGCAAGGACGUGUCGGGUAAAGGAAUAGAAGACCGAGGGUUUUUCUGCAAUCUGUCAGCGACACAAUGAAAUAGUAAAUGAACUCGUUCCCAGUUAGCCAAGAACCCGAGGCCCUCUGUGCAAAGUUGCCAGAGCGAGCGGGCGCGGGCACAUUUUCCCCUGGACAUGGGCCGCUUGAACCAGAUUCGGCCCAGUACUGUUACUGGUUUUUCCCUUUUCUUUUUCUUCCAGAGCCAAAUAAAUUCUAGGAAAUUGUAGAAAAAUCCUAAAAUUGUCAAACCAAUUUUCCUAGGCUUCUUAUUUUCCAUAGUAUUUAAUAAAAAUAGUUUCAUGAAUUUUAGAUUAAAUAAGGAAUUUUGAGGCAUUUAAACUAGCUUAAACCAUUAGUUCUGGAUUUUUAGAAAAUAAAUGAUAAUCCCAAAAAUUCCCAAACUUUUUAUAUGAGCUCUACACAUUAGUUAGAAACCAUGGGUAUAAUUUUGUUUGAUUUGGACCUUGUUUGAUAACUAGAACCCAAAACCCUACCCCCCUGCCCUUUGAAUUCCUUUACUGACUCCGGAAACCCUAAGUUCUCGGAGUUCCGUGAAGGGAAGUUAUAUUCUAGACUUUAGAUAAUAAACUCUUAUUGUCUUUGCACUCUCAUGAGCAUUACAUGACAUCCAUUCUUAUAUACAUAUAUAUAUAUGAUUAUGUUUAGAAAACGAAGAAGAGAUCGAAGUGACUGAAGAAAAGACACCACCACCUUCGGAAUCUCAGGCCGGGAAUUGUCUUUACUUUGACAUCUGCGGGUCUGAGCCUGACUCACCAAUCA
rnacentral:lncRNA from 1 species